AUUGAACGCUGGCGGCAGGCCUAACACAUGCAAGUCGAACGAGUGGCGGACGGGUGAGUAAUGUGUGGGAAACUCCGUGCUAGGGGGGGAUAACUACGAAAAGGGGUCUCUAAUCCCGAAUACUCUGGGGUGUGACCCGGUGGGAUUAGCUAGUGGGUGGGGUAAAGGCUCACCGAGGCGACGAUCCCUAGCUGGUCUGAGAGGAUGACCAGCCACACUGGAACUGAGACACGGUCCAGACUCCGACGGGAGGCAGCAGUGGGGAAUAUUGCACAAUGGGCGCAAGCCUGAUGCAGCCAUGCCGCGUGUAUGAAGAAGGCCUGCGGGUUGUAAAGUACUUUCAGCGGGGAGGCGUUACCCGCAGAAGAAGCACCGGCUAACUCCGUGCCAGCAGCCGCGGUAAUUC
rnacentral:rRNA from 1 species